rnacentral:pre_miRNA from 1 species
AGUUAAAAAUUUUAUCUAUUUGUACUAUUAAAAAUUUGUGUAGUUGAUAGAAUAACCAAAAAGUGUCACGUGGCGUGCUACUUGUACCUCAUGAUAAAAUACAAUGACCGAUUUUUAACCAUAAAACUGGAUGUAAUUUUAACA